rnacentral:rRNA from 1 species
AUUGAACGCUGGCGGCAUGCCUUACACAUGCAAGUCGAACGGUAACAGGUCUUCGGAUGCUGACGAGUGGCGAACGGGUGAGUAAUACAUCGGAACGUGCCCGAUCGUGGGGGAUAACGAAGCGAAAGCUUUGCUAAUACCGCAUACGAUCUACGGAUGAAAGCAGGGGACCGCAAGGCCUUGCGCGAACGGAGGGGCCGAUGGCAGAUUAGGUAGGUGGGGGGAUAAAAGCUUACCAAGCCGACGAUCUGGAGCUGGUCUGAGAGGACGACCAGCCACACUGGGACUGAGACACGGCCCAGACUCCUACGGGAGGCAGCAGUGGGGAAUUUUGGACAAUGGGCGAAAGCCUGAUCCAGCCAUGCCGCGUGCAGGAUGAAGGCCUUCGGGUUGUAAACUGCUUUUGUACGGAACGAAAAGACUCUGGUUAAUACCUGGGGUCCAUGACGGUACCGUAAGAAUAAGCACCGGCUAACUACGUGCCAGCCGCCGCGGUAAUAC